UGGGGAAUUUUGCACAAUGGGGGAAACCCUGAUGCAGCGACGCCGCGUGAUUUAGAAGGCCUUCGGGUUGUAAAAAUCUUUUCUAUGGGAAGAAAAUGACAGUACCAUAGGAAUAAGGACCGGCUAAUUACGUGCCAGCAGCCGCGGUAAUACGUAAGGUCCGAGCGUUGUCCGGAAUCAUUGGGCGUAAAGGGUACGUAGGCGGGUAAGCAAGUUAGAAGUGAAAUCCUAUAGCUCAACUAUAGUAAGCUUUUAAAACUGCUCAUCUUGAGGUAUGGAAGGGAGAGUGGAAUUCCUAGUGUAGCGGUGAAAUGCGCAGAUAGUAGGAGGAAUACCGGUGGCGAAGGCGACUUUCUGGCCAUAACCUGACGCUGAGGUACGAAAGCGUGGGUAGCAAACAGG
rnacentral:rRNA from 1 species